CACAGGCCAUGGGUUGCUCAGGCUUCUCAUUUGAUUUCUGUGCAUUAAUUCUUCCAGUUGAAUCCUUCCGUGCCUUUGCACAAGUAGUAUGACUGAUGCUCAUGUUAAGAUUGAGUCUACUUAUGGCUAGCAUUCUAUUUUGUGAAUUUCCUCAAGGUGCCUGAGAGAAGAAGCUUGAUUCUUGUCCAGAUCAAUUUUUGCCGGGAUGGUCAUGUGUUCAUUGAGGAUUGCACCUACAAUCACAAGUUCAUUUCAUGCUUUAACUCGAUUAUUAGAUCAUUAAGAUAACUUACGGCAUAACCCUAUGUAGACAUCACUUUUUUGAUGUUAAUUUUUGUCAUUGGCAUAUUUUGUAAUCUACUUGAUUCUUUCUUUUUUGUGUUUUUCAAACUUUGAGUUAAUUCUAGGCAUGUUGUUGAUGAGCAUUGGAGUUCGGACUGUAUCAUGUGUGAUACCUAAUGAUGA